rnacentral:misc_RNA from 1 species
AAGUCGCAACAAGGUUUCCGUAGGUGAACCUGCGGAAGGAUCAUUAGAAAGUCUGUUCGCCGUGGAGACGCGCGCGAACCUACCUUCAAACCACUGUGAAACCACUUGUUGCUUCGCGGCACGUCCUCCGCCCCGGCCGGAGGGCAGGUCAUCGCCGGAGCCAAACCAAAAACAAUUCUUUGUAACAGUCUGUCUGAGAAAAAAAUCAUGAAUUAAAAUUCGUUAAAA